ensembl:processed_transcript si:dkey-71l1.1 si:dkey-71l1.1
GCUAGAGUCUGUAGUUGAGCUGUUAUUACAUCCCUCAGCAUCCUUUCACCUUAUUCCCUUCCAGCGGUCACUGCAUGUGUAAAGCUUGCAUUUCAGCAUGAUUUCUGGACAUUAUUUGUGCAUAUUAUAAUUGCACCCGCAUUUAUUCAGGAAGAUAAGUUUCAGAGUGUGGGGUCCUCUCAUUUGGCUUGUGGGAUCUCAUGGGCAGUGUGCUGGCUCUGUCAACCCGCCCCGGGCGUCAAAACUCCCCUUUUCCACAAGAUAGACCCUUAUCACGAUGGGAUAGGAGAGAUGGAAGGCUGCCUAACCCAGGAAGCUUUGAUGGUCUGCACCGCAAUUGUAAAG